rnacentral:rRNA from 1 species
GAUGAACGCUGGCGGCGUGCCUAAUACAUGCAAGUCGAGCGAAUGGAUUAAGAGCUUGCUCUUAUGAAGUUAGCGGCGGACGGGUGAGUAACACGUGGGUAACCUGCCCAUAAGACUGGGAUAACUCCGGGAAACCGGGGCUAAUACCGGAUAAUAUUUUGAACUGCAUGGUUCAACAUUGAAAGGCGGCUUCGGCUGUCACUUAUGGAUGGACCCGCGUCGCAUUAGCUAGUUGGUGAGGUAACGGCUCACCAAGGCAACGAUGCGUAGCCGACCUGAGAGGGUGAUCGGCCACACUGGGACUGAGACACGGACCAGACUCCUACGGGAGGCAGCAGUAGGGAAUCUUCCGCAAUGGACGAAAGUCUGACGGAGCAACGCCGCGUGAGUGAUGAAGGCUUUCGGGUCGUAAAACUCUGUUGUUAGGGAAGAACAAGUGCUAGUUGAAUGAGCUGGCACCUUGACGGUACCUAACCAGAAAGCCACGGCUAACUACGUGCCAGCCGCCGCAGUAA